UCCGGUGACUAUAUCCAAAAGGCCACACCCGUUCCCAUCCCGAACACGGUAGUUAAGCUUUUGGAGCCGAUGGUAGUGCCAAAAGUGCGAGAGUAGGUGUUGCCGGAU
rnacentral:rRNA from 1 species